UACGUAGGGGGCUAGCGUUGUCCGGAAUCAUUGGGCGUAAAGAGCGUGUAGGCGGUCCGGUAAGUCCGUUGUGAAAGUCAGGGGCUCAACCCUUGAAUGCCGGCGGAUACUGUCGGGCUAGAGUCCGGAAGAGGCGAGUGGAAUUCCCGGUGUAGCGGUGAAAUGCGCAGAUAUCGGGAGGAACACCUAUGGCGAAGGCAGCUCGCUGGGACGGUACUGACGCUGAGACGCGAAAGCGUGGGGGAGCAAACAGG
rnacentral:rRNA from 1 species